rnacentral:rRNA from 1 species
AGUGAACGCUGGCGGUAGGCCUAACACAUGCAAGUCGAACGGCAGCACAGUAAGAGCUUGCUCUUACGGGUGGCGAGUGGCGGACGGGUGAGGAAUACAUCGGAAUCUACUUUUUCGUGGGGGAUAACGUAGGGAAACUUACGCUAAUACCGCAUACGACCUACGGGUGAAAGCAGGGGAUCUUCGGACCUUGCGCGAUUGAAUGAGCCGAUGUCGGAUUAGCUAGUUGGCGGGGUAAAGGCCCACCAAGGCGACGAUCCGUAGCUGGUCUGAGAGGAUGAUCAGCCACACUGGAACUGAGACACGGUCCAGACUCCUACGGGAGGCAGCAGUGGGGAAUAUUGGACAUUGGGCGCAAGCCUGAUCCAGCCAUACCGCGUGGGUGAAGAAGGCCUUCGGGUCGUAAAGCCCUUUUGUUGGGAAAGAAAAGCAGCAGGUUAAUACCCCGCUGUUCUGACGGUACCCAAAGAAUAAGCACCGGCUAACUUCGUG